rnacentral:rRNA from 1 species
UACGUAGGGUCCGAGCGUUGUCCGGAAUUAUUGGGCGUAAAGGGCUCGUAGGCGGUUUGUCGCGUCGGGAGUGAAAACACCGGGCUUAACUCGGUGCUUGCUUUCGAUACGGGCAGACUGGAGGUAUGCAGGGGAGAACGGAAUUCCUGGUGUAGCGGUGAAAUGCGCAGAUAUCAGGAGGAAUACCGGUGGCGAAGGCGGUUCUCUGGGCCUUACCUGACACUGAGGAGCGAAAGCGUGGGGAGCGAACAGG